CCUUUGGUACAUACGCUAAGUUUUUAAUAGUUUUUUUUAAUUUCUGAAAUUAUUUUUGUUUUUAAUAGUUUCCAAAUAUAUUUUAGGUCAUAAACAACUCAGCUUAUGUGAGAAGGUUGUGUACAUAUUGUGUAAAAUUUUCAGUUAGACAUCACAAGUGGUGUUGAGACAAUUUUCCUUUUUGACGAAAGAAUUUAUUUUCGUAAAAAAAGCUAUUUACUAAAACAUAAUACGACAGAUUAUUGUACCUUGGCUGUGGUGUAGGCCUACCUUGCGCAUCAUUUACUAUUUCCGAUAGGUGGUGCUAUCUGUUGGAAUAACGCGGUAUCAUGUCGGCCAUGACACCUUCUCCGUCAACCACAGAGAGCUGUAGCGCAAUCGGUCAAAUACCAUGAUUGGGAUACGGGAGUUGCGCUCCACAAUCUUGGUCAUCACUCCACCUGCAGUCUCUAUACCCAGGGAUAGCGGAGCCACAUCCACGAGCAGCACAUCUUGGAUGGCAGAGCUUGUGUCUCCUGAGAGGAUGGCUGCCUGGACUGCUGCCCCGUAGGCCACAGCCUCGUCCGGGUUUAUCGACAAAUUGAGAGGCUUUCCGCAGAAAAAAUCCUGAAAUGUAUAUUUGUGACAUUAAUAUAGAAUAUUAACUAAAA